UUCUAGUGUGGCAUAGUGGUUUGAGUGUUGGACUAUGACCCUGAAGACCAGGGUUUGAUUCCCAGCUUGGCCA